UACGUAGGGGGCAAGCGUUGUCCGGAUUUAUUGGGCGUAAAGAGCGUGUAGGCGGCUUUACAGGUCCGUUGUGAAAACUCGAGGCUCAACCUCGAGACGCCGGUGGAAACUGUAAGGCUAGAGUCCGGAAGAGGAGAGUGGAAUUCCUGGUGUAGCGGUGAAAUGCGCAGAUAUCAGGAAGAACACCCGUGGCGAAGGCGGCUCUCUGGGACGGUACUGACGUUGAGACGCGAAAGCGUGGGGAGCGAACAGG
rnacentral:rRNA from 1 species